rnacentral:tRNA from 1 species
UCCCUGGUGGCUCAGCUGGUAAAGAACCCACCUGCAAUGUGGGAGACACGGGUUUGAUUCCUGAGUUGGGAA